GACGAACGCUGGCGGCGUGCUUAACACAUGCAAGUCGAACGGAAAGGCCCUGCUUUUGUGGGGUUCUCGAUUGGCGAACGGGUGAGUAACACGUGAGUAACCUGCCCUUGACUUUGGGAUAACUUCAGGAAACUGGGGCUAAUACCGGAUAGGAGCUCCUGCUGCAUGGUGGGGGUUGGAAAGUUUCGGCGGUUGGGGAUGGACUCGCGGCUUAUCAGCUUGUUGGUGGGGUAGUGGCUUACCAAGGCUUUGACGGGUAGCCGGCCUGAGAGGGUGACCGGCCACAUUGGGACUGAGAUACGGACCAGACUCCUACGGGAGGCAGUAGUGGGGAAUAUUGCACAAUGGGCGGAAGCCUGAUGCAGCAACGCCGCGUGCGGGAUGACGGCCUUCGGGUUGUAAACAGCUUUCGCCUGUGACGAAGCGUGAGUGACGGUAAUGGGUAAAGAAGCACCGGCUAACUACGUG
rnacentral:rRNA from 1 species